rnacentral:rRNA from 1 species
CCUCCGGGAGUGAGUUGUUGGCGGUCGAGGUCGGGCCCUCCCCUCCCCCCUCUGUCCCUGUCUUUGGGGACUCGGGGGCCGAUUUUUCCACAAGCAGCUUGAGGAACGUGAAUUCAGAGACUGAGCAUGGGGUCCUAGUCUUGCUCUCAUGGGUGAGAGUUCGGGGCCCCGAGUUGAAAACCAAAACAACGACUCUCAGCAACGGAUAUCUUGGCUCUUGCAACGAUGAAGAACGCAGCGAAAUGCGAUACCUAGUGUGAAUUGCAGAAUUCCGCGAAUCAUCGAGUCUUUGAACGCAAGUUGCGCCCGAGGCUUGUCCCGAGGGCAUGCCUGCCUGAGCGUCACCGCACUCCCACUCCCGUGGUUACAUCUCGGUUUGCGGACCGGGGGUGCUACCGAGAGUGGAACUGGCCGUCCGGGACCCGGCGUGAAGCCGAUGGUCGCGGUUGGCUGAAAUGCAGUGUUCUGGACGCAGCUUAAGAGAGGGGCCGCGAGAAGGUGAUCCGCCCCUCGCCGGGCGGAGUCAAAAGACAGCGGUUCUCUCGCUUGGGUGGUCCGGGAUGACCGCGGCGGGGCACGGCUCCGUUGGGGAAAUGCGAGGAGAUGGCUUGUCCAUCUCCUCUCCAGCUUGGACCUCAGAUCAGGCAAGAUUACCCGCUGAGUUUAAGCAUAUCACUAAGCGGAGGAAAAGAAACUAAC